rnacentral:rRNA from 1 species
UCCGAUGACCAAAUCACCCCAGAUGCUCGCCAUCCCAUUGGCUCUCGGAGGCAAAUCAGGGUUGUUUCUGCUUAGUUACUUGCAUGAGAGACCACCUGGGAAUAACAUAUGCUAUUAUAA